GUGGACAGCCAUACCCCCUAAACAUUCCCAUCGAGUCUGCUAUCGGACGGUAAGCAGGGUAGGUCCUGGAUGUACUUAGAUGGGAGAAUAUCAGCUAGCCAGGUGUCAUUAAUA
ensembl:rRNA Gm23756 predicted gene, 23756